UACGGAGGGUGCAAGCGUUGUCCGGAUUUAUUGGGUUUAAAGGGUGCGUAGGCGGCUAAUUAAGUCAGCGGUGAAAUUCCACAGCUUAACUGUGGAACUGCCAUUGAUACUGGUUGGCUUGAGUACAGAUGAGGUAGGCGGAAUUGACAGUGUAGCGGUGAAAUGCUUAGAUAUUGUCAAGAACACCUAUUGCGAAGGCAGCUUACUAGCUGUAACUGACGCUGAGGCACGAAAGCGUGGGGAUCAAACAGG
rnacentral:rRNA from 1 species